GAUGAACGCUGGCGGCGUGCCUAACACAUGCAAGGCGAGCGAAUGGAUUAAGAGCUUGCUCUUAUGAAGUUAGCGGCGGACGGGUGAGUAACACGUGGGUAACCUGCCCAUAAGAGUGGGAUAACUCCGGGAAACCGGAGCUAAUACCGGAUAACAUUUUGAACCGCAGGGUUCGAAAUUGAAAGGCGGCUUCGGCUGUCACUUAUGGAUGGACCCGCGUCGCAUUAGCAAGUUGGUGAGGUAACGGCUCACUAAGGCAACGAUGCAUAGCCGGCCUGAGAGGGUGAUCGGCCACACUGGGACUGAGACACGGCCCAGACUCCUACGGGAGGCAGCAGUAGGGAAUCUUCCGCAAUGGACGAAAGUCUGACGGAGCAACGCCGCGUGAGUGAUGAAGGCUUUCGGGUCGUAAAACUCUGUUGUUAGGGAAGAACAAGUGCUAGUUGAAUAAGCUGGCACCUUGACGGUACCUAACCAGAAAGCCACGGCUAACUACGUGCCAGCCGCCGCAGUAA
rnacentral:rRNA from 1 species